rnacentral:rRNA from 1 species
UACGAAGGGGGCUAGCGUUGUUCGGAAUCACUGGGCGUAAAGGGCGCGUAGGCGGCUUGAUAAGUCGGGGGUGAAAGCCUGUGGCUCAACCACAGAAUUGCCUUCGAUACUGUCUGGCUAGAGACCGGAAGAGGUAAGUGGAACUGCGAGUGUAGAGGUGAAAUUCGUAGAUAUUCGCAAGAACACCAGUGGCGAAGGCGGCUUACUGGUCCGGUACUGACGCUGAGGUGCGAAAGCGUGGGGAGCAAACAGG